UAAGUUGCAGGGUAUAGACCCGAAACCCGGUGAUCUAGCCAUGGGCAGGUUGAAGGUUGGGUAACACUAACUGGAGGACCGAACCGACUAAUGUUGAAAAAUUAGCGGAUGACCUGUGGCUGGGGGUGAAAGGCCAAUCAAACCGGGAGAUAGCUGGUUCUCCCCGAAAGCUAUUUAGGUAGCGCCUCGUGAAUUCAUCUCCGGGGGUAGAGCACUGUUUCGGCUAGGGGGCCAUCCCGGCUUACCAACCCGAUGCAAACUGCGAAUACCGGAGAAUGUUAUCACGGGAGACACACGGCGGGUGCUAACGUCCGUCGUGAAGAGGGAAACAACCCAGACCGCCAGCUAAGGUCCCAAAGUCAUGGUUAAGUGGGAAACGAUGUGGGAAGGCCCAGACAGCCAGGAUGUUGGCUUAGAAGCAGCCAUCAUUUAAAGAAAGCGUAAUAGCUCACUGGUCGAGUCGGCCUGCGCGGAAGAUGUAACGGGGCUAAACCAUGCACCGAAGCUGCGGCAGCGAACGUAUCACCCAAGACAACUUUACGGAGUUGACGAUUGACGGAGCGAAGCGACGUCAAAGCGUUCAUUAAAGUCGAGUUGGCUUAGGGAUACGUUCGUUGGGUAGGGGAGCGUUCUGUAAGCCUGUGAAGGUGUGUCGUGAGGCAUGCUGGAGGUAUCAGAAGUGCGAAUGCUGACAUAAGUAACGAUAAAGCGGGUGAAAAGCCCGCUCGCCGGAAGACCAAGGGUUCCUGUCCAACGUUAAUCGGGGCAGGGUGAGUCGACCCCUAAGGCGAGGCCGAAAGGCGUAGUCGAUGGGAAACGGGUUAAUAUUCCCGUACUUGGUGUUACUGCGAAGGGGGGACGGAGAAGGCUAUGUUGGCCGGGCGACGGUUGUCCCGGUUUAAGCGUGUAGGUGUGUGUUCCAGGUAAAUCCGGUUCACUUUAACACUGAGGCGUGACGACGAGGCACUACGGUGCUGAAGCAACAAAUGCCCUGCUUCCAGG
rnacentral:rRNA from 1 species